rnacentral:misc_RNA from 1 species
UACUUUGGAAAAAAUCCCAAAAAACUAAACCGAAAGUUGAAAAUUUUCAGACAGAGAAACGCUAAAUACCAGUUAUUGAGAGGGAAUUAAGAUCAAGUUCAGUCACAGGGCCAAUUUUACCGAACUUUGAGAACAACAAGUUGUAAAAACUAUGGGGAUACAAAGCAAAAGUACAAAGCUAAUAGUGGCUUCAAUAGACAUUGGCACCACUCAUUCUGGUUAUGCCUUUUCUAUGAGAAAUGAUUGGGGGAAAGUGUACACAAGCAAGUGGUUUGGUGGAAGUCUUGUAUCCUCGAAGGCACCAACGUGUCUACUCCUGAAGGAUGACUUCACUAAGUCCUAUUUUGGAUACGAGGCUGAAGACAGAUAUGCAGAUCUUACAUCAGAUGAGAAUCAUCAUAAUUAUUAUUUCUUUCAACGAUUUAAAAUGAUCAUUCAUGGAAAAAGUGAUGCGCAACACAAGCGUUGUUAUGAUAUAAAAGGCAAAACUCUUGAGGCAGGACAUGUCUUUACCCGUUACAUCAAAUGUCUUAAAGAUUCCAUGUUUCAGAACGUAGAAUCAGUUUUUCCAGGCAUUCGUGAUGAUGACAUUGAAUAUGUCUUGACUGUUCCUGCCAUUUUCGGAGAAAAUUCUAAAAUGUUCCUGAUAGAAGCCUCAGUAAAGGCCGGGAUUAAGAUGGAAAAUUUGACAAUAGCUUUGGAACCGGAAGCAGCAUCUAUCUACUGCCAGUACUUAAAAUUUGCCAAAGAAGAUACAUCAUCUCCAGCGUUAGGUGUAGUUAAGCCUGGCACAAAGUAUAUGGUGGUAGACCUUGGAGGUGGCACUGCAGAUAUAACUGUGCAUAAAAAAUGUGAGGAUAACACUUUAGAGGUAGUUCUUGUGAGUGGAUGCCCUUCGGGAGGAAAAGCUGUAGAUGACCAGUUUAUCCAGUUCUUAUCAGAAUUGGUCGGAAGAGAUGCUUGGGAUAACUUCAAUGGAAUGCAUAGAAGAAUAUCUGGAAAUCACAAGAAGUUUUGAAACAAAGAAAUUAACAAUCAACCCAGACAAGAGUGGAAAUAUUCGAAUCCCUAUGCCACUAGAGCUUACGAGUUUAACCACUAAGUCGCACAGAGUCAAAUCCAUCAAAGAUGUCAUUGAGAAAAAUGAUGCUUAUAGAAAUAAUGUGAAUUUCUCUGUUGGAAAACUUGUUAUUGAUAAUAAUUUUUUGAGGACUUUCUUUAAGGAAACAAUCGAUCAAAUAGUAGGACAUAUUGAUGUCCUUUUCCAGAAAUCUGAAACAAGGGAUGUUAAAACCAUUAUAAUGGUUGGCGGUUUUUCUGAAUGUUCACUGGUCCAGGAUGCUAUCAAGAAACAUUUUGGGGAUGUUUCUAUCAUUGUACCCGAGGAAGCUGGUCUAGCUGUAUUAAAGGGUGCUGUCUUUUUUGGCCAUAUCCCUGAUGCAAUCUCGCAAAGAUCAGCAAGAUAAACCUAUGGAUUUCCGCGGGUAUGAUAAGGCAACUCUCGGCGAUCGAUUUAGUAAAAAUUUCUCUGAUCAAAAUGACGCUAUAAUAAGCAACAAGAUGUCAUAUUUUACUUUUUUUUUAAACUGUCAUUUUUAACUUUAUCUCUUGUCUUAAUUAUAAAACCUCAGGCGUAAACUUGUCAUUAGAAACUCUUCUAAAGGAAUUUCUCUACAAUUUCUGAGUAUUUGUAUUAGAUUCAUUGAUGUCGUCGGUAGCAUGUUUAUAAAAAAAGAUCGAUGUCGGGAGACAAAUAAUCGGAAUGCAGUGUAAACAAUGCACAAAUAAGUCUUAUUUAAUACAUAUACCCUAGAUUU